GAUGAACGCUGGCGGCGUGCCUAAUACAUGCAAGUCGAGCGAACAGAUAAGGAGCUUGCUCCUUUGACGUUAGCGGCGGACGGGUGAGUAACACGUGGGUAACCUACCUAUAAGACUGGGAUAACUUCGGGAAACCGGAGCUAAUACCGGAUAAUAUUUCGAACCGCAUGGUUCGAUAGUGAAAGAUGGUUUUGCUAUCACUUAUAGAUGGACCCGCGCCGUAUUAGCUAGUUGGUAAGGUAACAGCUUACCAAGGCGACGAUACGUAGCCGACCUGAGAGGGUGAUCGGCCACACUGGAACUGAGACACGGUCCAGACUCCUACGGGAGGCAGCAGUAGGGAAUCUUCCGCAAUGGGCGAAAGCCUGACGGAGCAACGCCGCGUGAGUGAUGAAGGUCUUCGGAUCGUAAAACUCUGUUAUUAGGGAAGAACAUACGUGUAAGUAACUGUGCACGUCUUGACGGUACCUAAUCAGAAAGCCACGGCUAACUACGUGCCAGCAGCCGCGGUAAUACGUAGGUGGCAAGCGUUAUCCGGAAUUAUUGGGCGUAAAGCGCGCGUAGGCGGUUUUUUAAGUCUGAUGUGAAAGCCCACGGCUCAGCCGUGGAGGGUCAUUGGAAACUGGAAAACUUGAGUGCAGAAGAGGAAAGUGGAAUUCCAUGUGUAGCGGUGAAAUGCGCAGAGAUAUGGAGGAACACCAGUGGCGAAGGCGACUUUCUGGUCUGUAACUGACGCUGAUGUGCGAAAGCGUGGGGAUCAAACAGGAUUAGAUACCCUGGUAGUCCACGCCGUAAACGAUGAGUGCUAAGUGUUAGGGGGUUUCCGCCCCUUAGUGCUGCAGCUAACGCAUUAAGCACUCCGCCUGGGGAGUACGACCGCAAGGUUGAAACUCAAAGGAAUUGACGGGGACCCGCACAAGCGGUGGAGCAUGUGGUUUAAUUCGAAGCAACGCGAAGAACCUUACCAAAUCUUGACAUCCUUUGACAACUCUAGAGAUAGAGCUUUCCCCUUCGGGGGACAAAGUGACAGGUGGUGCAUGGUUGUCGUCAGCUCGUGUCGUGAGAUGUUGGGUUAAGUCCCGCAACGAGCGCAACCCUUAAGCUUAGUUGCCAUCAUUAAGUUGGGCACUCUAAGUUGACUGCCGGUGACAAACCGGAGGAAGGUGGGGAUGACGUCAAAUCAUCAUGCCCCUUAUGAUUUGGGCUACACACGUGCUACAAUGGACAAUACAGAGGGCAGCGAAACCGCGAGGUCAAGCAAAUCCCAUAAAGUUGUUCUCAGUUCGGAUUGUAGUCUGCAACUCGACUACAUGAAGCUGGAAUCGCUAGUAAUCGUAGAUCAGCAUGCUACGGUGAAUACGUUCCCGGGUCU
rnacentral:rRNA from 1 species